rnacentral:rRNA from 1 species
ACGAACGCUAGCGGCGUGCUUAACACAUGCAAGUCGAGCGGUAAGGCCCUUUCGGGGGUACACGAGCGGCGAACGGGUGAGUAACACGUGGGCGACCUACCCUCAGCUUCGGGAUAAGCCUGGGAAACUGGGUCUAAUACCGGAUAUGACCUUCCCUCGCAUGGGGGUUGGUGGAAAGUUUUUCGGCUGGGGAGUGGGCCCGCGGCCUAUCAGCUUGUUGGUGGGGUGAUCGGCCUACCAAGGCGACGACGGGAGCCGGCCUGAGAGGCGACC